rnacentral:rRNA from 1 species
UUUAUGGAGAGUUUGAUCCUGGCUCAGGAUGAACGCUGGCGGCGUGCCUAAUACAUGCAAGUCGAGCGAACGGACGAGAAGCUUGCUUCUCUGAUGUUAGCGGCGGACGGGUGAGUAACACGUGGAUAACCUACCUAUAAGACUGGGAUAACUUCGGGAAACCGGAGCUAAUACCGGAUAAUAUUUUGAACCGCAUGGUUCAAAAGUGAAAGACGGUCUUGCUGUCACUUAUAGAUGGAUCCGCGCUGCAUUAGCUAGUUGGUAAGGUAACG